UGCCUACGGGGCGCAGCAGUCGGGAAUAUUGCGCAAUGGAGGAAACUCUGACGCAGUGACGCCGCGUGCAGGAAGAAGGUUUUCGGAUUGUAAACUGCUUUAGACAGGGAAGAAAAAAGACAGUACCUGUAGAAUAAGCUCCGGCUAACUACGUGCCAGCAGCCGCGGUAAUACGUAGGGGGCAAGCGUUAUCCGGAUUUACUGGGUGUAAAGGGAGCGCAGGCGGUACGGCAAGUCUGAUGUGAAAGCCCGGGGCUCAACCCCGGUACUGCAUUGGAAACUACCGGACUGGAGUGUCGGAGGGG
rnacentral:rRNA from 1 species